GAUGAACGCUAGCUACAGGCUUAACACAUGCAAGUCGAGGGGUAACGAGAGGAAAGCUUGCUUUCCUUGUCGACGACCGGCGCACGGGUGAGUAACGCGUAUCCAACCUGCCCCCAACUAGGGAAUAACCUUGCGAAAGUAAGACUAAUACCCUAUAAUUUCCUCAGAUGUCAUCUGACGAGGAAUAAAGAUUUAUCGGUUGUGGAUGGGUAUGCGUCUGAUUAGCUUGUUGGCGGGGUAACGGCCCACCAGGGCAACGAUCAGUAGGGGUUCUGAGAGGAAGGUCCCCCACAUUGGAACUGAGACACGGUCCAAACUCCUACGGGAGGCAGCAGUGAGGAAUAUUGGUCAAUGGGCGGAAGCCUGAACCAGCCAAGUAGCGUGCAGGAUGACGGCCCUAUGGGUUGUAAACUGCUUUUAUACAGGAAUAAAGUUAGCCACGUGUGGUUAUUUGUAGGUACUGUAUGAAUAAGGACCGGCUAAUUCCGUGCCAGCAGCCGCCGUAA
rnacentral:rRNA from 1 species